AUGACUACCUCCAUGACGAUACGAGUACAACAACCAUUGACAUGCGUUUUACCAAGUACCACUACCGUCGCCCCGAGAACGUCGGAUUCGUCAAGUACCUCUCCGGAAACGAACGUGUACCACUACUGUCGCAAGUACAUCUACCGUCAUCAUGUACCCCUACUUCCACUACAAAAGUCCCAAGAACGACUACUUCCCUCUAUGAACAAGAAUCGUCCCCUUUGCAUGCUCCGAAGGUAUAACCCCGAGACGAUGACCGUGGACAAAUGCAUGUUGUAUGUGAUGCCCGCGUUGGCAUCGUGUCCGAGUUGUCAUUACACGUCUCCCCUCGUUUACGAUGUCAUCGACUCGUGGGAACCCGGUAUCUGGGAUCAUCCCACCAUCCUUGCGUGUUUCGCUCCCGUCACACUUUCUUUUCCCUGA
rnacentral:rRNA from 1 species